rnacentral:tRNA from 1 species
GGAUGAAUGGCUUAGUGGAAGAGUACCUGUCUAGUAUGCAUGAAAUCUUGAGUUCAAACCUCAAUACCA